UACGAAGGACCCGAGCGUUAUCCGGAUUUAUUGGGUUUAAAGGGUGCGUAGGCGGAUUUACAAGUCAGUGGUGAAAUCUCCCAGCUUAACUGGGAAACUGCCAUUGAAACUGUUUAUCUUGAGUACAUUUGAGGCGGGCGGAAUAUGACAUGUAGUGGUGAAAUACAUAGAGAUGUCGUAGAACACCGAUUGCGAAGGCAGCUAACGAAACUAUAACUGACACUGAGGCUCGAAAGUGCGGGGAUCAAACAGG
rnacentral:rRNA from 1 species